AGUGAACGCUGGCGGUAGGCCUAACACAUGCAAGUCGAACGGCAGCACAGUAAGAGCUUGCUCUUACGGGUGGCGAGUGGCGGACGGGUGAGGAAUACAUCGGAAUCUACUUUUUCGUGGGGGAUAACGUAGGGAAACUUACGCUAAUACCGCAUACGCCCUACGGGUGAAAGCAGGGGAUCUUCGGACCUUGCGCGAUUGAAUGAGCCGAUGUCGGAUUAGCUAGUUGGCGGGGUAAAGGCCCACCAAGGCGACAAUCCGUAGCUGGUCUGAGAGGAUGAUCAGCCACACUGGAACUGAGACAGGGUCCAGACUCCUACGGGAGGCAGCGGUGGGGAAUAUUGGACAAUGGGCGCAAGCCUGAUCCAGCCAUACCGCGUGGGUGAAGAAGGCCUUCGGGUUGUAAAGCCCUUUUGUUGGGAAAGAAAAGCAGCAGGUUAAUACCCCGCUGUUCUGACGGUACCCAAAGAAUAAGCACCGGCUAACUUCGUG
rnacentral:rRNA from 1 species